rnacentral:lncRNA from 1 species
CAGCUGCCACUGAUGCCUUGACACAAUAGAAGAGAGAACCAAAGUUUUCCUGUGAGACCAGUGCUCCAUGCAAAUCAUCGUGGAGUUGAUUUGAGUGUACUCCUUCUGUAUCUGAAACUGAAAGGAAGAAAAUCUCAACUUCACGAUUGCACUGGAGUUAGUUAUGUCACUGCAGAACCCUUGACACGUGGAGAUGAAAUAGUGUGAAGUUCUGAAAUAAAAGGACAGUGCAAAUGACAUUUUUAAGAAGUUCCUGCUCAGCAUCUGAGGUCAUGUACAUUCUGGGAGCAGCCACUGUGGUGUGAGGCUCCUCCAUACCGUAUCCCUCCAUCCCUG